rnacentral:rRNA from 1 species
AUGAACGCUGGCGGCGUGCCUAAUACAUGCAAGUCGAGCGAACAGACGAGGAGCUUGCUCCUCUGACGUUAGCGGCGGCCGGGUGAGUAACACGUGGAUAACCUACCUAUAAGACUGGGAUAACUUCGGGAAACCGGAGCUAAUACCGGAUAAUAUAUUGAACCGCAUGGUUCAAUAGUGAAAGACGGUUUUGCUGUCACUUAUAUAUGGAUCCGCGCCGCAUUAGCUAGUUGGUAAGGUAACGGCUUACCAAGGCAACGAUGCGUAGCCGACCUGAGAGGGUGAUCGGCCACACUGGAACUGAGACACGGUCCAGACUCCUACGGGAGGCAGCAGUAGGGAAUCUUCCGCAAAGGGCGAAAGCCUGACGGAGCAACGCCGCGUGAGUGAUGAAGGUCUUCGGAUCGUAAAACUCUGUUAUUAGGGAAGAACAAAUGUGUAAGUAACUAUGCACGUCUUGACGGUACCUAAUCAGAAAGCCACGGCUAACUACGUG